rnacentral:rRNA from 1 species
CCUACGGGUGGCAGCAGUGGGGAAUAUUGGGCAAUGGGCGCAAGCCUGACCCAGCAACGCCGCGUGAAGGAAGAAGGCUUUCGGGUUGUAAACUUCUUUUCUCAGGGACGAAGCAAGUGACGGUACCUGAGGAAUAAGCCACGGCUAACUACGUGCCAGCAGCCGCGGUAAUACGUAGGUGGCAAGCGUUAUCCGGAUUUACUGGGCGUAAAGGGCGUGUAGGCGGGACUGCAAGGCAGAUGUGAAAACCACGGGCUCAACCUGUGGCCUGCAUUUGAAACUGUAGAUCUGGAGUACUGGAGAGGCGGACGGAAUUCCUGGUGUAGCGGUGAAAUGCGUAGAUAUUAGGAGGAACACCAGUGGCGAAGGCGGUCAGCUGGACAACAACUGACGCUGAGGCGCGAAAGCGUGGGGAGCAAACAGGAUUAGAUACCCCUGUAGUC